rnacentral:rRNA from 2 species
UGGCUCAGAUUGAACGCUGGCGGCAGGCUUAACACAUGCAAGUCGAACGGUAGCAGGUAAGUACUUGUACUUACGCUGACGAGUGGCGGACGGGUGAGUAAAGCUUGGGAAUCUGGCUUAUGGAGGGGGAUAACCAUUGGAAACGAUGGCUAAUACCGCAUAGUAUCGAGAGAUUAAAGGGUGGGACUUUUAGCCACCUGCCAUAAGAUGAGCCCAAGUGAGAUUAGGUAGUUGGUGGGGUAAGGGCCUACCAAGCCGACGAUCUCUAGCUGGUCUGAGAGGAUGGCCAGCCACACUGGGACUGAGACACGGCCCAGACUCCUACGGGAGGCAGCAGUGGGGAAUAUUGCGCAAUGGGGGGAACCCUGACGCAGCCAUGCCGCGUGAAUGAAGAAGGCCUUCGGGUUGUAAAGUUCUUUCGGUGAUGAGGAAGGUGUAUUGUUUAAUAGAUAAUGCAAUUGACGUUAGUCACAGAAGAAGCACCGGCUAACUCCGUGCCAGC